rnacentral:tRNA from 1 species
GGCUUCGUAGCUUAGCUGGUAGAACAUGCGCGUACAAAGCGUAGGCGGUGUCCAUGCAUGGGUUAGAAUCCCACCGAGGCUA